rnacentral:tRNA from 1 species
GUGGCUUAGUGGUUGCCUUCGUGGUCUAGUUUGGUCAUGACGUCGGUCUCAUAUCCUUUCAUAUGACACUCUUGGUAACAAGAUUGACAUCCGAAGGUCUCCAGUUCGAUCCUGGACGAGGGCAU